UACGGAGGGUGCAAGCGUUAUCCGGAUUUACUGGGUUUAAAGGGUGCGCAGGCGGAUAUGUAAGUCAGUGGUGAAAUCUCCGGGCUUAACCCGGAAACUGCCGUUGAUACUAUAUAUCUUGAAUGCUGUGGAGGUAAGCAGAAUAUGUCAUGUAGCGGUGAAAUGCUUAGAAAUGACAUAGAAUACCUAUUGCGAAGGCAGCUUACUACGCAGAUAUUGACGCUCAUGCACGAAAGCGUGGGGAUCAAACAGG
rnacentral:rRNA from 1 species